GUGCUCGCUAUGGCAGCACAUACACUAAAAUUGGAACGAUACAGAGAAGAUUGGCAUGGCCCCUGCACAAGAAUGUUUUCCUCCCUAACUCCACAAUAUCCAGGCUU